rnacentral:rRNA from 1 species
CCUACGGGUGGCAGCAGUGAGGAAUAGUGGUCAAUGGACGCAAGUCUGAACCAGCCAUGCCGCGUGCAGGAAGACGGCUCUAUGAGUUGUAAACUGCUUUUGUACGAGGGUAAACGCAGAUACGCGUAUCUGUCUGAAAGUAUCGUACGAAUAAGGAUCGGCUAACUCCGUGCCAGCAGCCGCGGUAAUACGGAGGAUUCAAGCGUUAUCCGGAUUUAUUGGGGUUAAAGGGUGCGUAGGCGGUCGGAUAAGUUAGAGGUGAAAUCCCGAGGCUCAACUUCGGAAUUGCCUCUGAUACUGUUCGGCUAGUGCGUAGUUGCGGUAGGCUGAAUGUCUGGUGUAGCGGU